ACAAAAAAGAGUUUGGCUUUGGCUCGGCUUGAACGGUAUCUGGUAGCUUAAACACAUGCAAGUUGUUGUUUUUUAGACCUAUUUUGUAAGCUUAUUUUAUGCCCAAUUAACGGGCAUUAAUUAGGCAUCUGGGCGAUUUAUUCUAAAAAUAAAAUCGCCUUAUGAACCUACAAAGAAAUAAAUACAACAGCGCACGGGCGAGAAAGACUUAGAUAAUAACCCCUGGUCUUUUCAAAUUCAUUACUAGGCUUUUGCGGUUUUUUUGCGUAUUUAUAUUUACUUUUAAAUAAAAAAAAAUACCCUUAAGGUAAAAUAAUGAAACAAAAAAGGAUAACUACAGCACUUUUAUAUAGUAGGAAAAAAAGUGUCUGGACAGAGGAUAUACUUAGUUGGCAACAGUUAGUUGGUGGGAUAAAGCUUACCAAGACGAUGACGCAUAGAAAUCUCUGAGAGGAGCGAUUUCCGCAAUGGCAAGGAAGUUAAGCCAUACCCUGUUAUAGGGGCAGCAGUGGGGAAUAUUUUACAAUGUCCGUAAGGAUGAUAAGACUAACCAGAUUAUGUAAAUUUAAUUAAAUUUACAUAUGUAGUAGAAAAAGAUUGUGACAUUAUUCUACAAACAGUCCUCUCCAAUUGUAGUGCCAGCAGAGGCGGUAAUACUACUAGGGCGACCGUUAGGCAUCUUUCAUGUGCGUAAAGGAUUUGUAGGCAGAAAACUAGAAUCAAAAAGAUGUAAGGAGAACUUUAAGAGUAGGGAUGAAAUCCUGUAAUACUUAAAUGACUACUAAAGGCGAAGGCACCUUACAAUGUAAUGAUUGACGCUGAGAAAUGUAAGCGUGGGAAGCCACCUGGAUUAGAUACCCAGCCAGUCCACGCCGUAAACGAUCCAUACUUUAAUAAAGUAAUUUAUUUUAUUAUAUGCUAACGCUUUAAGUAUGGCGCAACAUCAGUAUACUCGCUAGGGUGAAAAUGAAAAAGCUAGACGGUUUCAAAAACUCAGAGUGAAGCAUGCUGUUUAAUUCGAUAGCCCGCGAAAAACCUUACCUCGGCUUGAAUGUUUUUUGUGUUGUUUUAUUCUUUUUUGUUUUAUCUUAAGGUGGAAAGUGGAUCAUAAAUCCCCAAUCCCCACCUUAAGAUAAACCAAAAAACCAUAAAACAAAAAUGACUGAUUUAUUUUAUUUAUCAUAUUUUCUCGUGUUAUUUCCUUUUUUUCCCGCUUUAAGAUUUAGCUUGUAGCCUGGAAAAUCCGG
rnacentral:ncRNA from 1 species